ACGAACGCUGGCGGCGUGCUUAACACAUGCAAGUCGAACGGAAAGGCCCCUUUGGGGGUACUCGAGUGGCGAACGGGUGAGUAACACGUGAGUAACCUGCCCUUGACUUCGGGAUAACUUCAGGAAACUGGGGCUAAUACCGGAUAGGAAUCCUUGCUGCAUGGUGGGGGUUGGAAAGCUUCGGCGGUUUUGGAUGGACUCGCGGCUUAUCAGCUUGUUGGUGGGGUAGUGGCUUACCAAGGCUUUGACGGGUAGCCGGCCUGAGAGGGCGACCGGCCACAUUGGGACUGAGAUACGGCCCAGACUCCUACGGGAGGCAGCAGUGGGGAAUAUUGCACAAUCGGCGGAAGCCUGAUGCAGCAACGCCGCGUGCGGGAUGACGGCCUUCGGGUUGUAAACCGCUUUCAGCAGGGGCGAAGCUUGUGGUGACGGUACCUGCAGAAGAAGCACCGGCUAACUACGUG
rnacentral:rRNA from 1 species